UUAGUGGCAGACGGGUGAGUAAUGCAUAGGAAUCUACCUAGUAGUAUGGGAUAGCCACUAGAAAUGGUGGGUAAUACUGUAUAAUCCCUGCGGGGGAAAGAUUUAUCGCUAUUAGAUGAGCCUAUGUUAGAUUAGCUAGUUGGUAGGGUAAAGGCCUACCAAGGCAGUGAUCUAUAGCUGGUCUGAGAGGAUGAUCAGCCACACUGGAACUGAGAUACGGUCCAGACUCCUACGGGAGGCAGCAGUGGGGAAUAUUGGACAAUGGGCGCAAGCCUGAUCCAGCUAUGCCGCGUGAGUGAGGAAGGCCUUAGGGUUGUAAAACUCUUUCAGUGGGGAAGAUAAUGACGGUACCCACAGAAGAAGUCCCGGCAAACUCCGUGCCAGCAGCCGCGGUAAUACGGAGGGGGCAAGCGUUGUGUCGGAA
rnacentral:rRNA from 1 species